CUGCAUAGGGUACACUCCGUUUGAAGAUUAUGCUGCGGCUCCUGGCCAUUUUGUAGAACACAGAAUGAGAAGGUAAAAACUCUCACUUUCGCACAAGGAGGGAAGGACAUAUUCAGAGAGAGCUCACAAAGACAAGGUGGACCUCGUAGGAAGAAAAAUCCAAACAGAAGAUACAGUGGUUUGGCAUCAAAACACCACCUCUGAAUCGUGGAUUAUUACAAGUAGAUCGAAUUGGAACCAUGAGCUGGGGGUCAGAGCUAUGGGAUCAGUUUGAUAACUUGGAGAAGCACACCCAGUGGGGCAUAGAGUUUGUGGAGAGGUACAGCAAAUUCGUCAAAGAGAGAUCGGAGAUCGAAAUCAACUAUGCAAAGCAGAUAAGAAAUCUAUCAAAGAAAUAUCAACCCAAGAAGAACGCGAGAGAGGAUGAGGAGAACAA